UGAGUAAUGCAUCGGAACGUACCUUUCAGUGGGGGAUAACGUAGCGAAAGUUACGCUAAUACCGCAUAUUCUGUGAGCAGGAAAGCAGGGGAUCGCAAGACCUUGCGCUGAUUGAGCGGCCGAUGUCAGAUUAGCUAGUUGGUGAGGUAAAGGCUCACCAAGGCGACGAUCUGUAGCGGGGUCUGAGAGGAUGAUCGCCACACUGGAACUGAGACACGGUCCAGACUCCUACGGGAGGCAGCAGUGGGGAAUUUUGGACAAUGGGGCAACCCUGAUCCAGCCAUGCCGCGUGAGUGAAGAAGGCCUUCGGGUUGUAAAGCUCUUUCGGCCGGGAAGAAAUCGCAUGGGUUAAUACCCUGUGCGGAUGACGGUACCGGCAUAAGAAGCACCGGCUAACUACGUG
rnacentral:rRNA from 1 species